rnacentral:rRNA from 1 species
AGUGAACGCUGGCGGUAGGCCUAACACAUGCAAGUUGAACGGCAGCACAGUAAGAGCUUGCUCUUACGGGUGGCGAGUGGCGGACGGGUGAGGAAUACAUCGGAAUCUACUUUUUCGUGGGGGAUAACGUAGGGAAACUUACGCUAAUACCGCAUACGACCUACGGGUGAAAGCAGGGGAUCUUCGGACCUUGCGCGAUUGAAUGAGCCGAUGUCGGAUUAGCUAGUUGGCGAGGUAAAGGCCCACCAAGGCGACGAUCCGUAGCUGGUCUGAGAGGAUGAUCAGCCACACUGGAACUGAGACACGGUCCAGACUCCUACGGGAGGCAGCAGUGGGGAAUAUUGGACAAUGGGCGCAAGCCUGAUCCAGCCAUACCGCGUGGGUGAAGAAGGCCUUCGGGUUGUAAAGCCCUUUUGUUGGGAAAGAAAAGCAGCAGGUUAAUACCCCGCUGUUCUGACGGUACCCAAAGAAUAAGCACCGGCUAACUUCGUG